rnacentral:rRNA from 1 species
CGGAAUCUACUUUUUCGUGGGGGAUAACGUAGGGAAACUUACGCUAAUACCGCAUACGACCUACGGGUGAAAGCAGGGGAUCUUCGGACCUUGCGCGAUUGAAUGAGCCGAUGUCGGAUUAGCUAGUUGGCGGGGUAAAGGCCCACCAAGGCGACGAUCCGUAGCUGGUCUGAGAGGAUGAUCAGCCACACUGGAACUGAGACACGGUCCAGACUCCUACGGGAGGCAGCAGUGGGGAAUAUUGGACAAUGGGCGCAAGCCUGAUCCAGCCAUACCGCGUGGGUGAAGAAGGCCUUCGGGUUGUAAAGCCCUUUUGUUGGGAAAGAAAUCCAGCCGGCUAAUACCUGGUUGGGAUGACGGUACCCAAAGAAUAAGCACCGGCUAACUUCGUGCCAGCAGCCGCGGUAAUACGAAGGGUGCAAGCGUUACUCGGAAUUACUGGGCGUAAAGCGUGCGUAGGUGGUUGUUUAAGUCUGUUGUGAAAGCCCUGGGCUCAACCUGGGAACUGCAGUGGAAACUGGACAACUAGAGUGUGGUAGAGGGUAGCGGAAUUCCCGGU